rnacentral:rRNA from 1 species
CCUACGGGAGGCAGCAGUGAGGAAUAUUGGUCAAUGGACGAGAGUCUGAACCAGCCAAGUAGCGUGAAGGAUGACUGCCCUAUGGGUUGUAAACUUCUUUUAUAAAGGAAUAAAACGAGGCACGUGUGCCUUUUUGCAUGUACUUUAUGAAUAAGGAUCGGCUAAAUCCGUGCCAGCAGCCGCGGUAAUACGGAGGAUCCGAGCGUUUUCCGGAUUUAUUGGGUUUAAAGGGAGCGUAGAUGGGUUGUUAAGUCAGUUGUGAAAGUUUGCGGCUCAAACGUAAAAUUGCAAUUGAUACUGGCGGUCUUGAGUGCAGUUGAGGUAAGCGGAAUGCGUGGUGUAGCGGUGAAAUGCUUAGAUAUCACGAAGAACCCCGAUUGCGAAGGCAGCUUACUAAACUGUGACUGACAUUGAUGCUCGAAAGUGUGGGUAUCAAACAGGAUUAGAUACCCGAGUAGUC